GGGUUUUCCACAGUGUACUUGAGACUUUCAUUAUAGUUCAAAGCAUUUAAUCUAGUUUUGCCACCAUCAAACAAGCUACUUAUCCUUGAAAACAUAGGAAAGACAUACAACUCAUAUACGAUACCAAGAUGUUGCAGAAUGAAAACCAGGAAGUAGCUAAAAAUCGAGAAGAACCCCAAUUGG